CCUACGGGAGGCAGCAGUGAGGAAUAUUGGUCAAUAGACGAGAGUCUGAACCAGCCAAGUAGCGUGAAGGAUGACUGCCCUAUGGGUUGUAAACUUCUUUUAUAUGGGAAUAAAAUGUUCCACGUGUGGGAUUUUGUAUGUACCAUAUGAAUAAGGAUCGGCUAACGCCGUGCCAGCAGCCGCGGUAAUACGGAGGAUCCGAGCGUUAUCCGGAUUUAUUGGGUUUAAAGGGAGCGUAGGUGGAUUGUUAAGGCAGUUGUGAAAGUUUGCGGCUCAACCGUAAAAUUGCAGUUGAAACUGGCAGUCUUGAGUACAGUAGAGGUGGGCGGAAUUCGUGGUGUAGCGGUGAAAUGCUUAGAUAUCACGAAGAACUCCGAUUGCGAAGGCAGUUCACUGGACUGCAACUGACACUGAGGCUCGAAAGUGUGGGUAUCAAACAGGAUUAGAUACCCUAGUAGUC
rnacentral:rRNA from 1 species